rnacentral:rRNA from 1 species
UACGGAGGGUGCAAGCGUUAUCCGGAUUCACUGGGUUUAAAGGGUGCGUAGGAGGGCAGGUAAGUCAGUGGUGAAAUCUCCGAGCUUAACUUGGAAACUGCCGUUGAUACUAUCUGUCUUGAAUAUUGUGGAGGUGAGCGGAAUAUGUCAUGUAGCGGUGAAAUGCUUAGAUAUGACCCGGAACACCUAUUGCGAAGGCAGCAGGCUAAACAAAUAUUGACGCUGAGGCUCGAAAGCGUGGGGAUCAAACAGG